GGCUCAGUAGCGGAUGGUCCGCAUCUGCAAACAAUGAAUAAGUUUUGACAUCUGUUCGCAGAAGCCGCUCGUUCGAAUCGGGCUUGAGCCG